ensembl:lincRNA Lncenc1 long non-coding RNA, embryonic stem cells expressed 1
GUCUGAGUUCAAGAGGGAAAGAUAUGGUGGCCAAGCAUGAGGUGCUCCACAAAGGCCGUGGGGGAUUUGAAGCACGAGGGCACAGGUGCUAAACUACCCCAGAGUCAGCAAGGUCAGCUUCAUUUUACUGAGCUGUCACUCAUACUGAAGGGGCCUGCCCUCCUGUGUCCGGUAUGCAAAGCAUCUUUCCUGGCCACUCCGGUAAUCUUUGCAGCCUCAGCCUCAUCAACUCUGCUUCAUGCUGUUCAAUGCAAAUUCCUUCCCGAGCCUCUCUACCUGUUAGUGGCAUAUGGCAGAAGAUCUGAACCCGGGCCGGGGGCAUGAAGACAUCUUUGAGGAAGAGAGAAGGGAUAUUUUGUCUGAAAAACAUAAGGAUCCAGCAAACACCUGUGUUAUGCGUUGUUCUAAAUAUGCAGUCUUGUGCUGAUGUGUGUUUAUGUGGUCAGGAGGAGAGACAGCAUCCAGAGGGGGAAUCUAUAUCCCAUUAUCCCC